ACAGUGGACGCGAGCAUCUGUGGCCAAGUUUUUAAGGGCGCACGGUGGAUGCCUUGGCACCAGGAACCGAUGAAGGACGUGGGAGGCCACGAUAGUCCCCGGGGAGCUGUCAACCAAGCUUUGAUCCGGGGGUUUCCGAAUGGGGAAACCCGGCAGUCGUCAUGGGCUGUCACCCGCUGCUGAACACAUAGGCAGUGUGGAGGGAACGAGGGGAAGUGAAACAUCUCAGUACCCUCAGGAAGAGAAAACAACCGUGAUUCCGGGAGUAGUGGCGAGCGAAACUGGAUGAGGCCAAACCGUAUGCGUGUGAUACCCGGCAGGGGUUGCGCAUGCGGGGUUGUGGGAUCUCUCUUUCACGGUCUGCCGGCUGUGAGACGAGUCAGAAACCGUUGAUGUAGGCGAAGGACAUGCGAAAGGUCCGGCGUAGAGGGUAAGACCCCCGUAGCUGAAACAUCAGCGGCUUGUUUGAGAGACACCCAAGUAGCACGGGGCCCGAGAAAUCCCGUGUGAAUCUGGCGGGACCACCCGCUAAGCCUAAAUAUUCCCUGGUGACCGAUAGCGGAUAGUACCGUGAGGGAAUGGUGAAAAGUACCGCGGGAGCGGAGUGAAAUAGUACCUGAAACCGUGUGCCUACAAGCCGUGGGAGCGUCGCGCAUCGAGCUUGCUCGGUGCGUCGUGACUGCGUGCCUUUUGAAGAAUGAGCCUGCGAGUUAGCGGUGUGUAGCGAGGUUAACCCGUGUGGGGAAGCCGUAGCGAAAGCGAGUCCGAACAGGGCGUUUGAGUUGCACGCUCUAGACCCGAAGCGGAGUGAUCUAGCCAUGGGCAGGUUGAAGCGGAGGUAAGACUUCGUGGAGGACCGAACCCACCAGGGUUGAAAACCUGGGGGAUGACCUGUGGUUAGGGGUGAAAGGCCAAUCAAACUCCGUGAUAGCUGGUUCUCCCCGAAAUGCAUUUAGGUGCAGCGUCGUGUGUUUCUUGCCGGAGGUAGAGCACUGGAUAGGCGAUGGGCCCUACCGGGUUACUGACCUUAGCCAAACUCCGAAUGCCGGUAAGUGAGAGCGCGGCAGUGAGACUGUGGGGGAUAAGCUCCAUGGUCGAGAGGGAAACAGCCCAGAGCAUCGACUAAGGCCCCUAAGCGUACGCUAAGUGGGAAAGGAUGUGGAGUCGCAGAGACAACCAGGAGGUUGGCUUAGAAGCAGCCACCCUUGAAAGAGUGCGUAAUAGCUCACUGGUCAAGUGAUUCCGCGCCGACAAUGUAGCGGGGCUCAAGCGUACCGCCGAAGUCGUGUCAUUCAUACACAUAUCCUCAACGGGAGUAUGGAUGGGUAGGGGAGCGUCGUGUGCCGGGUGAAGCAGCCGCGGAAGCGAGUUGUGGACGGUUCACGAGUGAGAAUGCAGGCAUGAGUAGCGAUACACACGUGAGAAACGUGUGCGCCGAUUGACUAAGGGUUCCUGGGUCAAGCUGAUCUGCCCAGGGUAAGUCGGGACCUAAGGCGAGGCCGACAGGCGUAGUCGAUGGACAACCGGUUGAUAUUCCGGUACCCGCUUUGAAACGCCCAGUACUGAAUCAGGCGAUGCUAAGUCCGUGAAGCCGGCCCGAUCUCUUCGGAGUUGAGGGUAGUGGUGGAGCCGAUGAACCAGACUUGUAGUAGGUAAGCGAUGGGGUGACGCAGGAAGGUAGUCCAGCCCGGGCGGUGGUUGUCCCGGGGUAAGGGUGUAGGACGCACGGUAGGCAAAUCCGUCGUGCAUAUAGUCUGAGACCUGAUGCCGAGCCGAUUGUGGUGAAGUGGAUGAUCCUAUGCUGUCGAGAAAAGCCUCUAGCGAGUUUCAUGGCGGCCCGUACCCUAAACCGACUCAGGUGGUCAGGUAGAGAAUACCGAGGCGUUCGGGUGAACUAUGGUUAAGGAACUCGGCAAAAUGCCCCCGUAACUUCGGGAGAAGGGGGGCCAUCACUGGUGAU
rnacentral:rRNA from 1 species